GAUGAACGCUGGCGGCGUGCCUAGUACAUGCAAGUCGAGCGAACGGACGAGAAGCUUGCUUCUCUGAUGUUAGCGGCGGACGGGUGAGUAACACGUGGAUAACCUACCUAUAAGACUGGGAUAACUUCGGGAAACCGUAGCUAAUACCGGAUAAUAUUUUGAACCGCAUGGUUCAAAAGUGAAAGACGGUCUUGCUGUCACUUAUAGAUGGAUCCGCGCUGCAUUAGCUAGUUGGUAAGGUAACGGCUUACCAAGGCAACGAUGCAUAGCCGACCUGAGAGGGUGAUCGGCGACACUGGAACUGAGACACGGUCCAGACUCCUACGGGAGGCAGCAGUAGGGAAUCUUCCGCAAUGGGGGAAAGCCUGACGGAGCAACGCCGCGUGAGUGAUGAAGGUCUUCGGAUCGUAAAACUCUGUUAUUAGGGAAGAACAGAUGUGUAAGUAACUGUGCACAUCUUGACGGUACCUAAUCAGAAAGCCACGGCUAACUACGUG
rnacentral:rRNA from 1 species